CUCUCUCCCUUACUCUCGUUUCCAUGCGCCAGCGAAAGCACGCACCCGACGCGUCAGCAACGCCAGUACUCCUGGACCCGAAUGUAGACUUGAGCGAGGAGUGGCGGGCGAUGAACGCCGAAUAUGACGGGUACAACAGCGAACAGCCGCCGCGCACGCUGAGCGAAUUCCGCGAGCAACUGCAGCAAGCCAGGCAAGCCAGAAGCAAACGCAGCCUCGAGUCGGAGGGGGAGGAGGACGCCUUCUACCGCACUGUUGACGGAAACCCCAAGGACUAUGCUCUCCGUGUCGUUUUUGAGUUUCUCUGCCCGGCGAACCCGACCAAGGCGCGCCUGCGUGUGGAACGCAUCUACUGGAUCGCAUGGAAGCAGUUCCUGUACGGUUUUUUCAUGUCCGGUGUGGGCACAAUGCUGAUGCUGGUGGGCAUCGGGUGUACGGCACAGUAUUGCGUAGAAAAAGCGCGUGGUGCGGGGGUGAUGCUAGGGGCUUUUCUGCUGUGCGUUCCCGGUUACUACUCCCUGUUCGUCUUGUACAUGUACGUCACGUGUCGCGGUGGGUAUACCUAUUUGCAGCUACCGGAGGCGUGAGAACGGCAAGUGACGGGAAAAGAGCGGGCCCGUGGUCUUGCCCGCCCUCUUUUUGUCUCGUUGCCCCGACGCAAGUGCAAAGCGUGUGCCACGGGAGACACGGACUCUGCUGCUGCGUGCCGCCUUGUCUUGUCGAACCCACAUCUGGGGAGACAGAGGCGCGCUCUGACUCAGUUCUUCAAGAAAAAGAGAAUGAUGAAGAACGCGAUGAAAGUGGCACGAGUCCACGGUCGCAUGCUCUACUACGGAGAAGACGUGACGUUGGUGCUGAACUGCGCUCUCGCGCGCAGUGUGUGUGUGUGUGUGUGUGUGUGUACGCAGCAGCAGCGCGAGUGAGAUGCCUGCGACGCAUAUGUGUGCUGAUGGCUUUCUUGUUAUUCACCGUCCGUGCUCGCGCCUCCCGUUGAGGGAAUCGCGCAUACCUCACUUACCGGCUAACGGGAGCUCGUCACACGCCCUCGCCUUCGACCAUUCCCUCUUUUUCGGUGGCUACGCCUGUUUGCCUGCUAUCCUCCUUUCUCUCUAUUUGCCCACUCGCUGCCUUUCCCCCUCCCCCAACUUGGCUCUCUUUGCUCGUACCCCCGCCUCCCUCAAAACUGUGUAG
rnacentral:misc_RNA from 1 species